GNNGUGGUGAAAUUGGUAUACACGCCAGACUUAAAAUCUUGUGGUAGCAAUACCGUGUGGGUUCGAUUCCCGCCAGCGGCACCA
rnacentral:tRNA from 1 species